UUUACCUACGGGACGCAGCAGUGAGGAAUAUUGGUCAAUGGGCGGGAGCCUGAACCAGCCAAGUCGCGUGAGGGACGACGGUUCUAUGGAUUGUAAACCUCUUUUGUCGGGGAACAAAGGCGCCCACGGGUGGGCGGAUGAGUGUACCCGAAGAAAAAGCAUCGGCUAACUCCGUGCCAGCAGCCGCGGUAAUACGGAGGAUGCAAGCGUUAUCCGGAUUUACUGGGUGUAAAGGGGGCGUAGACGGCAGCGCAAGUCUGGAGUGAAAUGCCGGGGCCCAACCCCGGAACUGCUUUGGAAACUGU
rnacentral:rRNA from 1 species